AUGGAGGGAGAAGUGCAGGAGCUACAGGAUCUGGUGGCUCAGUUGAGAGUGGAGAAUGAGAGGCUGAGGCAGGAACAACCUUCAGUAAGUUCCCUAGUGAGUAAUACCACACCUGGCAAUGAUGCGGCAGCAAGGCCUAUUUUGCCCGGUGCUGGUGCCCGAUCAGCGGAUAGGUUUGUUUUUGUCCCUAGAGACCGGAAAUGUCCAAAAUUUAGUGGAGCGUCAGGUAUCCUUUUGGAGUUCUCCCUUGCCCUGAUGGGCCUCCAGGAGAAAGUUAAGCAGCAGUCGUCCUCUGCCAUGCCAAAUGCGGAAAUAUUAUUUCACGACCAAUUUGUUGAAUUUGUUUUAGAUCCGACAUUGCGUCGUGAACUUAAACAAUUGGUGCGCCGGCAGCCAUUAUGCACCUUCUUAGAUGUCCGGGGUGAGGCGAUACGUUGGGAACGAGAAGGGUCUGUCCGUACUUCCGUGCAUCAGUUAGUUUCAUCUUGCCCUCAUCUCAUUGCCCUUUUUGGUGGUGUUUCGAUCUCCUGUUUGGUGGACACUGGAUCGAUGGUGUCCACCAUAACAGAUAGUUGUUUCCGUGAGUACAGCGAACAGUGGGGACAGGGAGGGAUGGAGACAUGUCACUGGUUACAGCUUCAUGCCGCUAAUGGCCUUGCGAUACCAUACGUCGGGUAUAUCGAGUUGGAUGUGGAGCUGUGCGGCAGGCGGGUGCCAAACUGCGGGGUCCUGGUGGUCAGGGAUCCUCCGGGUGGGCCGUGCACUAGAGUCCCGGGAGUUUUAGGGAUGAAUAUUCUACGGCGCUGUUACCAGGAGCUCUUUGGGCAGCAUGGCCCCGCCUUAUUCAGCCUGCCGUCGGUGUCACAGGCCCCAAGUAUUAUGGUUCAGGCCCUUCAGCAUUGUCAGCAAGCUAGUACCCAGCCCAGUGAGAGCAGUGUGGGCAAGGUUAGAGUACGUGGCCGUCGUGCAUGUCGUAUUCCUGGUGGUACUAUAAAGUUAGUGGCCGCAACAUGUUCCAAGCAGUUUGCAGAUACCACUGUGCUUUUCGAACCCUUGGGGGAGGGUUUGCCUUCUGGAUUUUUGGCCUCUCCUGCAUUGAUAAAAGUUAUCCAUGGUACGAUUUCCGUACCUGUGGUGAAUUUAGGGACAUUGGAUCUGUUGCUUUACCCUCGUAGCAUUUUAGGUAGUCUGAAUAGUGUCUUAGUGGUCAGCUUGCCCACUGAGGUGGUAGAGGUACAGUCUGUUGCUGCCACUGACGUCCAGGGCUCCCAGGUGCUCUCCGCUAGUGGUCAGGCUCUCAGGUAA
rnacentral:lncRNA from 1 species